UAGGGAAUCUUCCACAAUGGACGAAAGUCUGAUGGAGCAACGCCGCGUGAGUGAAAGAAGGGUUUCGGCUCGUAAAACUCUGUUGUUAAAGAAGAACAUAUCUGAGAGUAACUGUUCAGGUAUUGACGGUAUUUAACCAGAAAGCCACGGCUAACUACGUGCCAG
rnacentral:rRNA from 1 species